rnacentral:lncRNA from 1 species
UAUAAUAUAAAUAUUCAAUACUUUCUAAUUAAAAAAAUAAUGAAAAGUAAAUUUGUAAUAUAACAAAAUAAAAUUGGAGGAGUAAUUAAAAAAAAAAAGAAUUUACAAUGGAAAGAGACACUUAAAAUUGCGAGAAUUUGACGCGUGGCAGCACCCCAGAUGCGUAAGAGCCAGACGCUUUUUUACAACGUCUCUUCCCUUCCCCUUUACAUAUCGGGUUUGCUUUUAGCCUUCUAAUUCCCUUUAGGCAAAAAGCUUUGCUCAAGCACAAGCUAAAAAGGCAUGAGCAUAAAGCCGACUGCAGCACAUCACGAUUCACGUACAGAGACCCGAGCCUGACCUUGUUUUGUUUCUUUUUCUUUUCUUAUUAAUGGCCACACCUCACAACAUGAUCGAUCAGCACAGAGCCUUUUUUUUUAAAUCUUCUGCACUAGCAAGGCAACCCUACCC